UGUUGAUGUGCAUGGGCAGUGGGGCAAGUAUUUGGACUGGAGACUGCCCGGGGUAUACAGCUGGAGCCCCGGGGGAGGAAAGCCCAGCCCUCAGAGGAAGAAAUGCUUCCAAAGGAAAAUGAAACUGCCAUCUUUGCACCAGCUCAGUCCUCAUCCCAGAGGGGCCUGUUCCAACCGCGUUCUGGAUGCACUGGGAAGAACACAACAUCACAUUUGUGUCAUUCCUGCCACAAAUGUAUAACUGAAACUACUCAAGAGGAAACAUCAGACAAUCUCUAACUGAAAAGCAUUCUGUAAGACAGCUGACCUGUAUUCUUCAAAAAUGCCAAUAUGGAAGACAAAGGCUAAGCAACUGUUGCAGAUUCAAGGUGACUGAAGAGAUGUGACAAAUGGAUGCAACAUAUGAUCUGGGAUUUUCUUUGGCUUUAAAGGAUAUUAUUAGGACAAUCAAUGAAAUCUGGGUAAGGUCUGUCCAUUAGACAAUGAUAUUGUAUGAAUGUUAAUUUCCUGAAUUUGAUCAUCACACUAUGGUUAAUAAGGACAAUGUUCUAAUUUUUAAUAAAUACACACUAAAAUAUGCAAAGGGGUGUCAUGUUUCAAACAGUUCAGAAAAAAUAUUGUGUGGAUGAAGUUGUAGGUAUAGGUAUGGUAGAUACAGAGAUAGAGGCCAAGGCAGAGUGGUAAAAGUUUAACAUCUGGGAAAUCCGGGUGAAAGGUCUAUGGGGAUUCUUUGCACUAUUCUUGUAACUUUUCUAUGAGUAUGAACACAUAUCAGAAGUUAAAAGAAGAGAAGAGAGCCAUUAGGCUCCAGUCCCUGUCUGGCCCUGAGUGAGUGUGUGAUUGAUUAAGUCUCUCCACCCUCUGGAUUUCUUCCUGCCUCUUCCAGCCCUUCCAGUUGGAGUCCUCAUGGCUUGGUCUCUCUUAUUCCAGAUCCUCCCAAAUAAUUUCCAGAUUUACACCUUCUCUCCUCUUCUUGUGUCUAUG